CCCCUAGCCAAGGGAAGCCACGAGGGA
rnacentral:piRNA from 1 species